AACAGAAUAAAUAACGUCUUGAGUUAUUUCAUUAACAGACUAAAGUCAGGUUUAUUAUGUUUUCAUCUAUUUUUUCGUUUAAUUUACAAUGCAGGAUUGAUCAAGCAAAUGAUCACAAAGUUAGAUAUACUUCUUCUGUUUUGCUUUUGCUCUUUAUAUGUAAGCAUCUAACAAUGGAGAUUCUGUUUGUACUAGAAUUUAAUCAAGUUGUAGAACUGUACUUGCUUUCUAAGGACCAACAUAUGAUAGCAUUUGACUGUGAGUUCCUGCAUUUAGCAGCAGGUGAAUUCGUCUUGAAAGCUGCUCGUCUAAGGUCAGCGUUUGACUCUCUGCUGAAGCGGUUAUCUCCAUUAGAGUCAUCAAACAAUUGUAUUGCAAUUCUCCUAUUUCCUUCUCCAAAAUCUUGGCCAAAGAAAGCAACCCUUUCGUCUCAGUUAUUCUCCUACUGUUUGCUACAUUCCCUCUAGCAAGCAUCCAUAGAGCUUCAGCGCAGUUGACCCUAAGCUCAUGUUUCACUUUAGGAUUCUCAUUAUCCCUCCUUUCCUUACUUGUUUUAACACUUCCACUACCACCAAUGUCACUACUAUAUACACUCAACUUAGAACUCUUUUAUACGGUCUGUAAACUUUGUUUAUCUGAACAAGAGAGUGAAUGCUACAACUAUGCUUACUCGACUCAAGAUCAUCCACAAAGUGAAAGCAAAUUAACCAGUCGCUUAAUCACACUCUGUCUAGCGAACUCUUCUUGAGCAACCGGAUCAUGUUCGGCCAUUCUUGCCACCUCGCUGCACUAUGUUUUGAACGAUUUACCUUCGUUCACGGAGGCGCUCCGCCGUGAUAAGGGAAGUAGAGAGCUCGUCUCCAAGUUCCGUUUUUUUCUUUUCUACGGUUAUGACUUAUGAUUACGAUUUGACCGGCGCGUGAAGUACACAGCAGCUCACGGGUGUUUUUAAGAGUAGAUUAAUGCGGAAGGGAGAAAAAGCCAUUAAAAUGAACGCCCGUGGGUGUUUUGUUCGAGAUUUAACAAUCCUUCUUGUCAUUUUACGACAUAAUAAUAGUAGGAGAAUAUUACAUUCCAAGAAACUUUUAAAAUAUAACAAAUAGUGUAGCAAUAGCAUCUAGCUUGUACACUGAUUUUCUUAGAGAAAGUGAGAAUUUUAAACUAUACAUGAAGAACUCAUGCUAUCUAAUCUAUUAAAAUAGGAGUACGUUUUGUACUUAUUCCUGAGUUUUCCUCAAUAAUUACCAGCUUAUGUCACUUGUAUUAAACACAUUCGUUUUAUACAUUUGCUAACCUAUUAUUUCGCUAAACUAUACCAUUAAGGACAUUUGUGUAAACCUACCAUUAAUCACAGCCAAGCCGGAUAUUGAAAUCGUCGUUGACCUUCUCAAUUUGUUGAAGCUCGAAAGUCCGCCGUCGAGAAGCCGUUCAAUUCAACCAACAACAGCUCCGGAAACGGUUAUUUUAACCGCGAGGCUUUCCGGCGGAUCUCAUGUACGAGCUCCUCCACCGCCUUAAAUGUGUACAAAACCUGGAUAAACGCCUCAUAUUCAGACUCCGUUAGAUAUAGUCUCUAUUGAGGUGUCUUCGUUCUGAAGAACAAAUUAUGCCAGUAGUUACAGCUGUAAGCAUGGGAGUACUUCCAUUUACAAGGAGCAACAGUACUAAACAUGUGAUUAUGCGAUACUUGAACCAGUUCUAUCCUUCGCAGAAACGAAAACUAUGUGGUGGAUCUUAAAGUCCAAAUGUUACACUUUUGCUUUGGCAACAGCUGUUAGGGAACUACACUUACUUCUCCCGUAACAAAUAUGGAGAGGUAGCUCUGAUCUUCUGUGAGUUGAUGGUAGACCCUUUUACUUCUUAUGUCCUUUGGAAGGUUAUGCAAAAGUGUAGCUCUAAACAGAUCACUCGGAUGAUUACAAUAAUCUAUACUUAUUUUUGAAUGUUUUUUGCAACUUGCUUUCAUUAUUUUUUUUAUGUUUCUAUCUAAAUAAUGUAUUUGUUUCAAAAAAUCUCAUUAUAAAA